AUUGAACGCUGGCGGCAGGCCUAACACAUGCAAGUCGAGCGGAUGAAGGGAGCUUGCUCCUGGAUUCAGCGGCGGACGGGUGAGUAAUGCCUAGGAAUCUGCCUGGUAGUGGGGGAUAACGUCCGGAAACGGGCGCUAAUACCGCAUACGUCCUGAGGGAGAAAGUGGGGGAUCUUCGGACCUCACGCUAUCAGAUGAGCCUAGGUCGGAUUAGCUAGUUGGUGGGGUAAAGGCCUACCAAGGCGACGAUCCGUAACUGGUCUGAGAGGAUGAUCAGUCACACUGGAACUGAGACACGGUCCAGACUCCUACGGGAGGCAGCAGUGGGGAAUAUUGGACAAAGGGCGAAAGCCUGAUCCAGCCAUGCCGCGUGUGUGAAGAAGGUCUUCGGAUUGUAAAGCACUUUAAGUUGGGAGGAAGGGCAGUAAGUUAAUGCCUUGCUGUUUUGACGUUACCAACAGAAUAAGCACCGGCUAACUUCGUG
rnacentral:rRNA from 1 species